ACAAGAAGGAAUCAGGAGGCAGAGCACAUGGUUAAAGCAUGAGAUGUGAAACCAGGAAGAACCAGGUCUGAACCUUAGCUCCACCAGUGGUAGCCCCAAACCUUGGUCCUUUCUGAGCCUGCUUCUUCAACCCUAAGGGAACGCUACACUUCCUUAGAAAUUAAGAGUGUGUGCUACACUGCUUUACCAGAGCAAGACCAAAAGCAGCUUCAAUUAUGGUACAACUGUGUGAAGACACAAUGCGAAACCACUCAAGAAUGCUCACUCAAAUGGAUUUUUACCAUGGAACUCGGAAACGGGACCCAGAAAGUUGUUUUCUGCAAGUGGAUGGAACAACACAAGCAAUCAGUAUCCUGAAACAGGCCCUGUUCCAACAAACUGACCCAGAAAGCAAGUAUGAGGACUCCUGUUUCCCUACGUACUCACUACUACAGCAAAGAUAUCAAACAUUGAUACCCACCAAUCUCUGGAUGGAAAAACAAAUCUCAGGAAUCGCUUGCAGGAGGCUCUGCACGUUCCUCAGAUUCAGAGUCACUGUCCUUUUGCCUGUGAAGCUCCUCACUUUCAGAGUCACUAGCAUUAAGAUUUAAGGGCUCAUCAUUCUCAGAGUCUGUCACAUGAUGUCCUUUGGGGAGGCCAUCUUCUCGAUCACUAGUUUCAUUCUGAAAAAUAAAGUGAGAAAAAAUUAGGAAAGUGCAAAAAAAAAAAAAACAUUAAU
rnacentral:antisense_RNA from 1 species